rnacentral:rRNA from 1 species
CACCGCGGUUAUACGAGAGGCCCGAGUUGACAAACACCGGCGUAAAGCGUGGUUAGGUUAAAAAUCGUACUAAAGCCAAACAUCUUCAAGACUGUUAUACGUAACCGAAGACAGGAAGUUCAACCACGAAAGUCGCUUUAUCUGAUCUGAAUCCACGAAAGCUAAGGAA